rnacentral:rRNA from 1 species
CAGUCGCCACGGGAAUACGAAGGGUGCAAGCGUUAAUCGGAAUUACUGGGCGUAAAGCGUGCGUAGGCGGUGAGUUAAGUCUGCUGUGAAAUCCCCGGGCUCAACCUGGGAAUGGCAGUGGAUACUGGCUCGCUAGAGUGUGUCAGAGGAUGGUGGAAUUCCCGGUGUAGCGGUGAAAUGCGUAGAGAUCUGGAGGAAUACCGGUGGCGAAGGCGGCCCCCUGGACAAAGACUGACGCUCAGGUGCGAAAGCGUGGGGAGCAAACAGGAUUAGAGACCCGUGUAGUCCCUGUCUCUUAUCC